rnacentral:rRNA from 1 species
GACUCCUACGGGAGGCAGCAGUGGGGAAUAUUGCACAAUGGGCGCAAGCCUGAUGCAGCAACGCCGCGUGAGUGAUGAAGGCCUUCGGGUCGUAAAGCUCUGUCCUCAAGGAAGAAUAAAUGACGGUACUUGAGGAGGAAGCCCCGGCUAACUACGUGCCAGCAGCCGCGGUAAUACGUAGGGGGCAAGCGUUAUCCGGAAUCACUGGGCGUAAAGGGUGCGUAGGCGGUUUUUCAAGUCAGAAGUGAAAGGCUAUGGCUCAACCAUAGUAAGCUUUUGAAACUGUUAAACUUGAGUGCAGGAGAGGAAAGUGGAAUUCCUAGUGUAGAGGUGAAAUUCGUAGAUAUUAGGAGGAACACCAGUGGCGAAGGCGACUUUCUGGACUGUAACUGACGCUGAGGCACGAAAGCGUGGGGAGCGAACAGGAUUAGAUACCCUGGUAG